rnacentral:rRNA from 1 species
AUCUACAGCCAUACCACCCUGAACGUGCCUGAUCUCGUCCGAUCUUGGAAGCUAAGCAAGGUCGGACCUGGUUAGUACUUGGAUGGGAACAGUUUCUCUCUUUU